AAAACAGAUUCCUAAAAUAUAAGUCACAGAUGUUUCUGAAAUCGAGAGCCAGGUACCAACCCAAAAGACACCUCUUAGCUACUGGCUCAGUACAUAGUGUGUUUGUUAGCGCUAAUAGACUUGUUGCUGGAGACUCAGUGCUUUUCAUAUGGUUCAUUGCCAUUAAAAGAUGAUUUGUGGUGUCAACUGUAUUUUCUUCAGUUAGUUCAGUUGGCUUUAGCUGAUAUUUUAGGCUGCAAGUUUCUUAAAAUUUUCUUGGCAGUAAUUUUCACUAACAUGCAGUUAUUGUUGAAGGAAAUGGUGAAGCAAACGGAAAUGGCAAGCUGGUCAGCGUCGUCAUCUGGACAGAGGCAUGCCAGCAAUGUGUUUUUCCUCGCAGGCAAUCAAAGUACUCAAUGAUGAGAUGAAUUGUGACAUUAUCAAGAUUGGUAGCAUCGUAAGAAACAAGGUAGACUUUGUCCCAUUUCUUAGUCUUGUGUAUGUCAACAUGCCAUGUGUUUCUGGAACCCCUUGGUGGUGAUUUGUGGUACUGGAACCUGUUGUUGGUUGAAAAAAUAGUUAUCUUGGACAUGAAUCUAGUUUCUGGUCGUGGGACCAUCUUGAAGUGAAUGUGAUGUUUGAGUUUGAUACCCAAGUUGGUGUAGAAUGUUUUUGCUUGUCAUCUGACACUGGGAAAUCUCAUGUUUGGUCAGUGAAGUGAAUCUGUUACUUAUA